rnacentral:tRNA from 1 species
GUGAACAUAGUUUAAUCAAAACAUUAGGUUGUGAUCCUAAUAAUCAGGGCUGAUAUCCCUCUGUUCACC